rnacentral:rRNA from 1 species
UACAGGGGGGGGCAAGCGUUGUUCGGAAUUACUGGGCGUAAAGGGUUCGUAGGUGGCCACUUAAGUCAGACGUGAAAUCCCUCAGCUUAACUGGGGAACUGCGUCUGAUACUGAGUGGCUUGAGUGCAGGAGAGGAAUGCGGAAUUCCAGGUGUAGCGGUGAAAUGCGUAGAUAUCGGGAGGAAUACCUAAGGCGAAAGCAGGUUUCUGGGCCAUCACUGACGCUGAGCUGCGAAAGCUAGGGGAGCAAACAGG